CGUGACGAGAAGCUGUUCAGCCGUUUUAGUGUCGCCAGUUUUGCGCUUUUCUACGAGAAACGAUUCGGGUGAAUUUUUGGGGAGAUAAGCUUGUAAACCAUGGAUGCAGAUCAUCUUUAAAAUCGGGAAACUGAAUGCGUUAGAAAAAAACGGGGUGUGUGUAUUUUUGUGGCUGCGUGCUACACUUUACGUCGUGCCAACGUCGGCCUAGGCUGAAUGUUUACGUCGCCAUACGUCGUCUAAAUGUCGUCACCUACAUACAGGACGGGACCUCUGUGGAGUUUAAUGACGUUAAUUAAAGUCAACCUGCUUUUGGUCUAUAAAGUGGUAAAGGCUGAUGAAUUGGCUGGAUUGAAGCCCAACUCAGUGUGCAAAUAGAACCAAACAGCCACUGAACACUGAGUUUAAUUAAAUCAGUAGUAAAACUAACUAAUAAUUGUGUAAUACUGUCUAGAUUUAAUCUCGUGUGCAUUUAUUCACACGACACAUGUGAAAGACAAAUCUCAGACGAUUCCCAUUUAGUUCACUGACCCUCAGUUUGUUAAUCCAAUAGAUUAUGACUAAUUUAAAAGUUAAAAUAGUUAUUAAGAAUAUAAAACUCUUGAGUUUCUUAUAGAACUGCGCUGGACCUCAAGUGACAGGUGUGAGCAAUCCAGUCCCCCCAAAAAAUAGAUGAACCAGAUUACCAGUGUCCUUCAGUGUCUCCCCAGUCACAGGAUCUGAAUCUAAUAAAACACCUUUGGGAUGUAGCACAACAGCUCUGAUUCAGGUGCUCACAUGUGUGGAACAGUUGAAGAGUCAGGUAUCUGACCUGAACCGGAAGGUUGACGUGCUGCUCCGGCAGAACAGCUCUCUGCUGAGUGAUGAUGAUGAUGAUGUGGAAGAUGUCCAGGCUGGUUUGCCACUGUGGACGUUCGAGGACGUGGAAGUGCUGGAGCAGAAACUGCAAGAUGAGAUGUAUAACAAGCUACUGCAGGUUACAACAGCUGAUGUGCUGUCUGCUUCAGUGCAGGAGGUCCAGCUCUCAUCUGUAGAGCAGCGAGGGUUAACUUCAGCAACGUCACUGACGACCACAUUGGAAACCUAAUAAAGAACAGGCUCCGUUUGGCCAGGGACAGAGAUGGAGGGAGGAGGUAAAGAAGCAUCAGUGCUGUUCAGUACAACUCAGCUCUUCAACUCUGAGUUUGUGUCAGUGGCACACAGAGUACUGUUUACAUUCACUCUAAAAUAUAUUAUUAUCUAAUAUUUAAAAAUGCAAAAGCAACCUUUUGAGGUUUCAUAUAUAUUUAAUGUGGCUUGUUCAGGACACAAAGCAACCUUUGAUGCAUCAUCAUAUAGUGUACAUAUAGAGUUAAAGCACAGGCUUAUAUACAUGUAAGGAUUUUUACAUAAAGUGCAGAAAAGGGUUAGAUUUUGCCUGUCACAGCCUAAUGAAAACAGGCAUUUUGAUUAAGCUGCUGGCCCAAGAUUCAUAAAGACUAUGUUGACUGUGAAAUUCAAGUACUGUUUCAAUGAAGUAAAUACAGGUAUUAUGUCAUGAUUAUGAACUCACUCUGGGUUUGUCAUGGUCCUAAUUGUAGAUGCUAGUAUAGUUGUUCAUUUCAUUAAGAUUAAGAGAACCUUAUUGGUCCCACAAUGGGGACAUUUUCGCCUCUGCAUACACCCCAUCCGUGAAGUGAAAAACCACACACACACACACUAGUGAGCAUACACACACUAGGGGGCAGUGAGCACACUUUCCUGAAGCGGUGGGCAGCCCUAUCCACAGCACCCGGGGAGCAGAUUGGGGUUAGGUGCCUUGCUCAAGGACACAUCAGUCAUGUACUGUCAGCUAUGGGGAUCAAACCUGCCCCAUGGUUGCUAUUGUGGCAAUUUGGAAGCCAAGAGCUAAUUUUGACUUUAUGGAGCAUUCGGCUGGACUGCCAGUAUAAACAUGUUGCAGUUUGUGUCGUGUUUAUAAUUGUGUUUUUUUUUUACCUUGUAAUAAUAUAUCUGUUGUCAAUGACUGUGAUCUUAUAAACUGAUGAAGCCAUUUGAAAUACCAUAAAACUUAGCACACAAAAACUGGAUUAAAGUGAUACUAUUAUGGUAACUCAGUUUAACUCCCAUACAGUGAAACGAGCUCAUUGUGAUUGCAUUGAUUAAUCGAUUUUGAUCACUUAAUUUACAAACAUAUAGUGAAAAACAGGUACAGAAGUUGAGAAAGAAAAUAACCAGAAAAGAAGAGAGUGUCUUUAUGGAGCACACCACUACUAAAUCUACUCAAGCAUCUUACCUUACCAUACAAAUGGGCUGUAAACCAUUGUCUAAAUACUUUUAGUCACCAUCACUUAUAUGACAGCAAUCCACAGAGUUGAAUGAAAUAAUCGAUUACUAUCUCAGUUUUCAAAACGUCUUCGUGUCCUUUGGUAUGUUUUCAAUUUGAGUGUUUUCAAAUCGAUAAAACGUCAUGGCUAAAAACUAUUUUAAACUUAAGGCACCAUGCUUCUGUAUUUUGGCCGCACAGAACUAUACAUUUGUGUUAUUUCUCAAAAUAAAAACUUUGAUGAUGAUGUGAAUAAAAAAAACAAAAAUUGCA